GACGAACGCUGGCGGCGUGCUUAACACAUGCAAGUCGAACGGAAAGGCCCUGCUUUUGUGGGGUGCUCGAGUGGGGAACGGGUGAGUAACACGUGAGUAACCUGCCCUUGACUUUGGGAUAACUUCAGGAAACUGGGGCUAAUACCGGAUAGGAGCUCCUGCUGCAUGGUGGGGGUUGGAAAGUUUCGGCGGUUGGGGAUGGACUCGCGGCUUAUCAGCUUGUUGGUGGGGUAGUGGCUUACCAAGGCUUUGACGGGUAGCCGGCCUGAGAGGGUGACCGGCCACAUUGGGACUGAGAUACGGCCCAGACUCCUACGGGAGGCAGCAGUGCGGAAUAUUGCACAAUGGGCGGAAGCCUGAUGCAGCAACGCCGCGUGCGGGAUGACGGCCUUCGGGUUGUAAACCGCUUUCGCCUGUGACGAAGCGUGAGUGACGGUAAUGGGUAAAGAAGCACCGGCUAACUACGUG
rnacentral:rRNA from 1 species